rfam:Bacteroidetes bacterium RIFCSPLOWO2_12_FTLL_31_6 rifcsplowo2_12_scaffold_175233, whole genome shotgun sequence.
UUGCACUGGGCAAGUCUUAUACGACCAGCUCCUGCUAAACUUCCCCAGGCUGGGAACAGAGCAAGGAUAAGCGGUUGUAGCGGUGCGAUGUAAGUAGCUUGCCCACUU